AGUGAACGCUGGCGGUAGGCCUAACACAUGCCAGUCGAACGGCAGCACAGUAAGAGCUUGCUCUUACGGGUGGCGAGUGGCGGACGGGUGAGGAAUACAUCGGAAUCUACUUUUUCGUGGGGGAUAACGUAGGGAAACUUACGCUAAUACCGCAUACGACCUACGGGUGAAAGCAGGGGAUCUUCGGACCUUGCGCGAUUGAAUGAGCCGAUGUCGGAUUAGCUAGUUGGCGGGGUAAAGGCCCACCAAGGCGACGAUCCGUAGCUGGUCUGAGAGGAUGAUCAGCCACACUGGAACUGAGACACGGUCCAGACUCCUACGGGAGGCAGCAGUGGGGAAUAUUGGACAAUGGGCGCAAGCCUGAUCCAGCCAUACCGCUUGGGUGAAGAAGGCCUUCGGGUUGUAAAGCCCUUUUGUUGGGAAAGAAAAGCAGCAGGUUAAUACCCCGCUGUCCUGACGGUACCCAAAGAAUAAGCACCGGCUAACUUCGUG
rnacentral:rRNA from 1 species